AUUGAACGCUGGCGGCAGGCCUAACACAUGCAAGUCGAGCGAGCGGCGGACGGGUGAGUAAUGUAUGGGAAACUGCCUGAUGGAGGGGGAUAACUACUGGAAACGGUGGCUAAUACCGCAUACCAUCAGAUGUGCCCAGAUGGGAUUAGCUAGUAGGUGGGGUAAUGGCUCACCUAGGCGACGAUCCCUAGCUGGUCUGAGAGGAUGACCAGCCACACUGGAACUGAGACACGGUCCAGACUCCUACGGGAGGCAGCAGUGGGGAAUAUUGCACAAUGGGCGCAAGCCUGAUGCAGCCAUGCCGCGUGUAUGAAGAAGGCCUUCGGGUUGUAAAGUACUUUCAGCGAGGAGGCGUUACUCGCAGAAGAAGCACCGGCUAACUCCGUGCCAGCAGCCGCGGUAAUAC
rnacentral:rRNA from 1 species